rnacentral:rRNA from 1 species
GCUUAGGGAGGAGCUUGCGUCACAUUAGUUAGUUGGUGGGGUAAAGGCCUACCAAGACUAUGAUGUGUAGCCGGGCUGAGAGGUUGAACGGCCACAUUGGGACUGAGACACGGCCCAAACUCCUACGGGAGGCAGCAGUAGGGAAUUUUCGGCAAUGGAGGAAACUCUGACCGAGCAACGCCGCGUGAACGAUGAAGUAUUUCGGUACGUAAAGUUCUUUUAUUAGGGAAGAAUAAAUGAUGGAAAAAUCAUUCUGACGGUACCUAAUGAAUAAGCCCCGGCUAACUAUGUGCCAGCAGCCGCGGUAAUACAUAGGGGGCAAGCGUUAUCCGGAAUUAUUGGGCGUAAAGGGUGCGUAGGCGGUUAAAUAAGUUUAUGGUCUAAGUGCAAUGCUCAACAUUGUGAUGCUAUAAAAACUGUUUAGCUAGAGUAAGAUAGAGGCAAGUGGAAUUCCAUGUGUAGUGGUAAAAUGCGUAAAUAUAUGGAGGAACACCAGUAGCGAAGGCGGCUUGCUGGGUCUUUACUGACGCUGAGGCACGAAAGCGUGGGGAGCAAACAGGAUUAGAUACCCUGGUAGUCCACGCCGUAAACGAUGAGUACUAAACGUUGGGUAAAACCAGUGUUGAAGUUAACACAUUAAGUACUCCGCCUGAGUAGUACGUACGCAAGUAUGAAACUUAAAGGAAUUGACGGGACUCCGCACAAGCGGUGGAUCAUGUUGUUUAAUUCGAAGGUACCCGAAAAACCUCACCAGGUCUUGACAUGCUUCUGCAAAACUGUAGAAACACAGUGGANGUUAUCAGUUGCACAGGUGGUGCAUGGUUGUCGUCAGCUCGUGUCGUGAGAUGUUGGGUUAAGUCCCGCAACGAGCGCAACCCUUAUUGUUAGUUACCAGCACGUAAUGGUGGGGACUUUAGCAAGACUGCCAGUGA